AAAAAAAACAACCUUCCACCGCUCUCUUGUUAGCUAACUGCGCUGUUUUGUUCCGUGGUUACAUGUCUGCACAGGCCGUCAUUGUGUCAGUCAUAAUUACCACCUGUUCGCCCGCUCCCUUCAGGUUCCGUCACCUCCGCGGCAUUAAGCAGCCAGCGGCAGGAAGCAGUGUCGAUUGCCCGGGAGCAGCGACUGUCAGGCCCCGGGUUUCAGAGCAUAAUUGCCGCCCGCGCGCACGGAUAGCCCUGGCCUCUUCCCCUCCUUCCCCUCCCGGGAUCGGGAAGGAAAAGACCCAGCCGUUCGCUCUCCGCUCGCUCGCAUUCUUUAGGCAGAGGAGAUCAGAGGCACCUCAGAUGUCAUUUUCAUGCCGUGAAUCAGAUCUGAACUCUCUCUCUCUCACGCACACGCGCACACACACACACACACACACGCGCGCGCGCGCGCGCGCCAUUCUGUUAAAAAAAAAAAAGUUCCAGUUUUGAAACCUGUACAGACCCCACCUCCUUGCCCCUGUUCGGUGCUGUUUACUGCUCAGGGCUGCGUGGGUUGCUUGCUUUUUAAAGGUAUCACCUUCGGACGUUUUUGGCUCCGGACUUGUUCGGAUGACAUACAUGCAUCUCUCCCGCUCUAACGUCACAUGGGACAAAUAACAGGUAGCGUUAGCUGCCAUUAGUUGAGCACCUAGUGCAGCCUUUCACGCUAAUUAAUCUUCACGGGGCUCCCAUUUGCAUUACCAAUGAGCCAUUCCCAUCAUAAAAGAGUCAGCCAGAGAUAUCUAAUAAUUUCCACCAUGCAAUUAUUAUUACUAUUUAUCUCAAUGGAAAUUGGUGCAUGUUUGGAGUUGAAACGCUAAGAAAGAGAAGUAAAGAUCUGGAGCAUUCAAAAGCAAAUUUCGUUCAAACCACGGCAGCUCUUCAGAGUUUUCCUCAACCACUUAAGCGAAAGUGAUUUUCAAUACUUAGGGAUAAAAAGGAUUCAUGUCAGAAAAUUCUGUCAUAAUUCUGUUGGGAUAGUUACUGCGACCAAAAGGAAGGAGAAAAGCAGUCAAACUUGCUAACAUUCCAGCUCAAGAGUUCUCUUGAAUGUUUCUGAAGCCAAAGGAUGAAACAGAUGCAUUUUACUAGGCUUGAGGAGAAACUCCAACUGGACCGCUGGUUAAAGACCAAAUGAAAGUUUUUCCAACACAGGAGUGGUAGGAAUUGUAGACAGUGCAUAUCUUUGUUUACCUUUAAACACUGACUGUUAUUACCAACGGAUGGCGAAUUGGCCAUGAAUCGCUGGAGACACACUUCGGGUCCAAUUUAACCUGAGCCCUCGUGAAUAAUAAAAAUCAGAACCACUGUUAAACGGAUCAGAAUCUCGUUUGGAAAGAAACGGAAAGAAAGGUGAAAAUGGAACCAGGUUGCUGGAUUCAAAGCUGGAGUUCACUCUUUUUUUUAGCUGUGUGAUUUUGGUCAAAUUACUCAACCUCUCUGAGCCUCUGCUUCUUUAUUUGUGUAACGGUGAGAAAAAGACUUACCCUCUAGGAUGGCCGCUGCCAAGUUGUCUUCCUCCUCCGCUCUUUUCCCCGUAAGGUCAGAGGAAGGCUUCCAGACUGUGUUGGUUUUUCGAACACUGGCAUUCUCACUCAAUCCUCUGAGGUGCACUGGGUGCCAGUCCUGGGUCGUGACAAGAGUCCACAUCACGUGUGAGGUUAGGCCAGGUUCUUGUGGGAAAGUUUCCUUUCAGUAGAAGUGUCUUAGCUCCUUUCUGAGAAGUUAGAACUAAGAAUGUUCCUCUGCCGAAGCGGGUUCUGAAAACCCUCACGCUGAACGACUUUAUUUUCCAUGUACGCGGACUAGACUGGAAGAGAGGCAACACAGCAUGGCAGCUCUGACUGGGCCAGUUCUUCCAGGAAAACAUGGCUUCAAGAUGUGAUGUCCAGUUAUGCACCUUGUUCACAGCACAGCUCAGAGGGCACUGUCAAUGUGAAUGGUACCUCCAGGUAUCAGCACUGCACAGUCCACUCAGUUGGAUGCCAUGGCCCCGAAUUAAUGGUCUGUCUGGUGGCUUGGGGCUCCCAGUGCCUUUUCUUUUCCUGUCUUUUCUUCCAGCUUUAUUGAGGCAUAACUGACAAAUAAAAAAUGUUUGUAUUUAAGGCGCACAAUGCGAUGCUUCGAUAUACAUAUAUAUUGUGAAAUGAUUACCAGAAUCAAGUCAAUUAAGACAUCCAUUAGGUCAAAUCGCUACCAUUUUGGAAGAAAGUGGUGGGCGCACUUAAAAUCUUCUUUCUGAGCAAAUUCCAAGCAUACAACACAGUAUUAUUAACUAUGGUCACCAUGCUGGACAUGCUAUCCCCAUUACUUAAUUCAUUUUACAGGUGGAAGUUUGAACUCUUUGACUAACCUCUCCCCAUCCCCCUACCUCCGUCCUCCACCCCUAGUAAUCACCAUUCUUCUCUUUGGUUCUAAGGUUUCAAGUUUUUAAGGUUCCGAUUAUAAGUGAGGUCAUACAGUAUUCGUCUUUCUCUGUCUGGCCUAUUUCACAUAGCAUA